CCUACGGGAGGCAGCAGUGGGGAAUAUUGGGCAAUGGGCGCAAGCCUGACCCAGCAACGCCGCGUGAAGGAAGAAGGCUCUCGGGUUGUAAACUUCUUUUCUGCGGGACGAAGAAAGUGACGGUACCUCAGGAAUAAGCCACGGCUAACUACGUGCCAGCAGCCGCGGUAAUACGGAGGUGGCAAGCGUUAUCCGGAUUUAUUGGGUGUACAGGGCGUGUAGGCGGGAAAGCAAGGCAGAUGUGAAAACUCAGGGCUCAAACCUGAGCCUGCAUUUGAAACUGUUUGUCUUGAGUGCUGGAGAGGCAAGCGGAAUGCCGGGUGUAGCGGUGAAAUGCGUAGAUAUACGGAGGAACACCAGUGGCGAAGGCGGAUUGCUGGACAGUAACUGACGCUGAGGCGCGAAAGCGUGGGGAGCAAACAGGAUUAGAUACCCGGGUAGUC
rnacentral:rRNA from 1 species